UACGUAGGGUGCGAGCGUUAAUCGGAAUUACUGGGCGUAAAGCGUGCGCAGGCGGUUCGUUGUGUCGGUGGUGAAAGCCCCGGGCUUAACCUGGGAAUGGCCAUGGAAACUGGCGAACUGGAGUGUGGCAGAGGGGGUGGAAUUCCGCGUGUAGCAGUGAAAUGCGUAGAGAUGUGGAGGAACACCGAUGGCGAAGGCAGCCCCCUGGGUCAAGAUUGACGCUCAUGCACGAAAGCGUGGGGAGCAAACAG
rnacentral:rRNA from 1 species